rnacentral:rRNA from 1 species
CGGGGUGCAGCAGGCGCGAAACCUUAGCAAUGUGCGAAAGCACGACUGGGUCAGUCCGAGUGAUUCCUGAUAAAGGAGUCUUUUACUUGUCCUAAAAGCACAGGUGAAUAAGGGGUGGGCAAGUCUGGUGUCAGCCGCCGCGGUAAUACCAGCACCUCGAGUGGUCAGGACGUUUAUUGGGCCUAAAGCAUCCGUAGCCGGCUUUGCAAGUCUUCGGUUAAAUCCACCUGCUCAACAGAUGGGCCGCUGGAGAUACUACAAAGCUAGGGAGUGGGAGAGGCAGACGGUAUUCAGUGGGUAGGGGUAAAAUCCUCUGAUCCAUUGAGGACCACCAGUGGCGAAGGCGGUCUGCCAGAACACGUUCGACGGUGAGGGAUGAAAGCUGGGGGAGCAAACCGGAUUAGAUACCCGGGUAGUCCCAGCUGUAAACGAUGCAAACUCGGUGAUGCAUUGGCUUAUGGCCAAUGCAGUGCCGCAGGGAAGCCGUUAAGUUUGCCGCCUGGGAAGUACGGACGCAAGUCUGAAACUUAAAGGAAUUGGCGGGGGAGCAC